UUCUCUUCUUACCUUUUUUAAAUCGAGAUAUAAUGGGCAUAUAACAUUAUAUUAGCUAGGGUGUACAACACAAUGAUUUGGUAUUUGUAUAUAUUGUGAAAUGAUAACUACAAUAAGUCUAGUUAACAUCUAUCACCGUAGUUACAAUUUAUUUUUCUUUUGAUGAAAAAGUUUAACAUUUACAUUCUUAGCAACUUUCAAACAUGCAAUACAGUAUUAUUAACUAUAGUCACCAUGCUGUACAUGACAUCUCCAUCACUUAGUUAUUUUAUAACUGGAAGUUUGUACCUUUUGACCCCCUUCAUCCAUUUUGCUCACCUAUCCCCUCUUUUAUUAUAUUUACACGUGGUUGGGCUCAGAGCCAAAUCUUAGCAUCUCAGGCACUUGCCCAGGGACAAAAGGAGAUGCCUGUAACUACACGCCUCCAACAUUAGAGGGAAGAGUUGUUCGGGUAGAAGAGUCUGGUCUUGGCUACCCCACUCUGGGUCCCAGAAGAAAGCUGCUUCCUUUAAUCUGGAGGCAAAGUAUACACUAAAGUUCUUUCUGCAUUUCUUCUUAGCACAUAUAACAUAAAUUCACAAUUUAAAAAGUAUUUUUACCACUAAGGAAAUAAUUACAGAACUAUGCAUUUAUUAACAAUAGCCCAAUUUCCAAAAUUAAAGAUUCUAAUUCAAAUGACUCUAAAAAAACAGUGACAAGAUUCCAAGACCUCGGAUUCCCUUAUAUCAGGAAUAGAACAUUCUAGAAGGAAGGGCUUGCACCAGUCAUUUGGUUUCUUCUAUUCCAGUCCUGCAUUUCCACAGGGGGUAAUUUUAUCUCCCUCCAAUGCAAUGCGUCUAAAGGGACAUUUUGCACCGCCCCCUCUCCCCCACGCCAGGACCAAUGCCAAAGCCUUAUUAAAACGAAAAAUUUUCUUCACGGUAUAAUUUUAAGUAAAAAAGCAUUAUGUUAAAUAUGAUCCCAGUUUUGCAAACACGUGUUACAUAUGCACUAAAGAGCCUGGAAGACAACAAUGAACAUCUUUGAGAGAGUGCAUUAUGGAUGUUUUGUUUCCACUUAUCUGUAUUUUCUUAUUGUCUUCUAUGAUAAAUACACUUUGCUUCAGUAAGAAAAAGUCAAUGAAGAUUUUUAAUUAUUUGAAAACUCUCACUGCUCAGAUUCCAGGCAGGCACGCGAUACGUAUUAAUUAGAUGUGUGAGGGAGUGAGAAUAAAUGAAGAUGAAUGAAUACCAAAGGGAUGGUCUCGUGCAGCGUGUCCCCGCGCUUCUUCUGAUGGAUGGCUGCCUUCUUCUGUGCUUGCAGAGCAAGACCUGAGUACAGCUCUAGGCUUCCUUCUGUUGCCACCUCCCUGAACCCACAAACAGAUCACUCAGAGAAGAACAGUAUCUCAGAGGGGAGCGGGUGUGGGGGCGGGGGAGUUGUUUGGCCUUUGUGAAUAAAGCGUCAGACUUGGAAGGCCCCGCCCCUAAUUAAUUGCCGGAGAAAGGCGAGUCUCCCGGUGUAAACAACCUGCAGCAGCUGGCGAGACAAGUCCCCGAAGCCCAGACCCAUACUAGCCAAUUAGCAGGGGCUCAUCUGAGAAGACAUUUCACCCGGGGACCUAACUGCUGAAUGUGUGCCAGACCAGCAGGGACAAACAAGCUGUGCCACCCUCCUCAGAAUUCAGAGGCUGCCACCAGUGCAAGACAAGUGAUGUGGAAUGUGUUUCCAAGAGACCAACGAACCAGCUCUGGAGUGCGGCAUUGUAGCAACAGAGAUGUCUGCCAAAUGACAGAGCACAUAAAAGGGAGAGCCCAUAAUUAAUCUGCACGGAGCGUCCGAUUCUUGGCAAGCUUAAUGAGCUGCUGUUGGCCCUGCACAUCGACACGGCACUCUCUAAUUCCUCCACACAUCAAGCAAAUGGAUAUGAACCCAAGGUGGGGGAAAUAGGCGUCGUCCACAGCUCAGAUCUGCGGGAUCCUGAGUACAGGGAUGGAAAGCCCCCGGGAUCCCCUGAACAGGUGCAGCAACAGCAGGAAGGAUGCUAACUGAAGAGGAAAUGGUUAUAUCUUUUUAAUUACAUGGCAGAGCCAUUCCCUGCCUGACCAGCAGAGCAACACAUAGAGACGGUUGUCGUUUUGCUUUAGAAAAACGGAGUCUUUUCACUCCCUGCCACUUGUUUAUUUCUGCGCAGUCCUGUGUGAGAGAUCACUCAAUCACUAUGGUCUACACUUGCUUCCUUAACUCUAUCUCCCCCCGAAACCCAGGCAAUCAGAGGAUUGACAGGAAAGACAACAUCUAAUUUUUGCAGAUGCUCGCCAGCUCCCCUGGAGUAUACGUAAAGAAGGCUGCAUUUUGUGGCAGAAAAGCUCCUCUCAUCUUCUGCCCGACCCUGCUCCUCUUGGGAAUCCAGCUGUCCUCUGCCAUGCACGCCCAGCAGUCCAGCCAUGAUGCCGGCAGGCAGCAGAAGGAGAACAAGGGGCCCUCCAGAGAACGCGUGUUUUUUAAUAAGAAUCUGUCUCCCUUGGAUGUGCAUAUGUAAAUAUGCAAUACAAUCACAGACAAGGACGCAGGAGGCUUCCUCCUCCCUGUUCCAGCAUUCGAGGCCAAUCCCCAGCUCCACUUAGGGCCAAGUGGGCAAUCAUGGGUUCAGCAGUCUACACUGGACUUCCGGGGCACACCUGCAGGAAGACUUGGCUGGAGAGAGACCCCAAAGGCUACACUGUUCCCCGCUGCGUAUCUAGAAGGCACAGGGCAGCAUUGGGUUGAUACUGGACAUUGGACAAAAGAUAGGAAGGUUCAAGGGAGAAGCUCAAAAGAGAAUGCUGUCUGUUUGAAAUGCUCACCGACCCACGUCAGCCUAUCCAGCUGCUACUCAUCCUUCAAAGCUCAGUUCACAAUGUCCUCCUUAUUGCAGAUUUCCCUGCCCCAUGCACCCAGCCUCUCUCAUAGAUUCCUGGCUCCUUUCUGUGUUCCUAGAACAGAAACAGUCAUGGUCUCCCCAGCCCGGGAUACAAAAUAAUGACCAAAAAUACCUGAGUUUUGCCAGCUUGUUAACCUGCUCAUCCAAGUCCUAAGUUUGCCCUCAGAUUGUCCCCCAGUUAUUCCCAUGGUCCCCAAGGGUUCCCAUAAAAGUCUCAGCUACCCCUCUGUGGGUGACCUUUAGUCUCGUUCUCCACCUGGAGAUAAGAUACCCCGAGUGCCCUUGAGAAGUCAUCCCUCCUCUGCUCAGAGAUGCCCUUGUAAAAACUCAUUCCUUCCAGUCUCUCUCCUUCUCUGGUCUCCAGAGGAGCGUGGGGAAACAGGUCUCCUUCCCUCUGCCCCUUAUUUCAUCACCUGAGCCUUGAGACCCUCGGGGCGUACCCCAUGUCUGUGGGGCCCCCUUCAACUUCUGUUCUUCUCCCCCUCCCUGUAGCUCCAGCCCCUCAGCCAGGCGGGAGAAGGGCACCAUGCACUCCCCUCCGUCCUCCUGUCUUUCUCUUCAGCAUCCUGGGGCCCAAGCAUAAGCCUUUCCUCCUUCUUCCAGUUAAAAAGAAAAAAAAAAAAACCCACAAAGGCAAUCGGGCCUAACAACCCAAGCAAAUUAAUGACCUGGCGAAGCAGGUAACUGGCCUCAUUCACACACUGGCUGCCCAGACUGAAGUGGGGACACCAGAGACACACACCUUUGCACAAGUGCUCCUCAGAUACUGAAGAUAGAUGGUGAGCCUCCAGAAGGCCGGAACAUUGUCUUAUCAUCUUUCAUCAGAUACAUGAGGGAGACAGUCAGAAGGCAAACAAACAAAUGGAUACACACCACAUGGGGGAGGCCACUGUUGGAGAGAACAAUCCAUGUUCCAGCCAAGAGAGGGCAGCGGCGUGCAAGACAUAUUUCUGUGCACCGGGCUCAGAGGAGAGCUUCUCAGCCAGCAACCUGGAAACAACCCCAGUCAUUGUCCAGG
rnacentral:lncRNA from 1 species